UACGUAGGGUGCAAGCGUUGUCCGGAAUUAUUGGGCGUAAAGAGCUCGUAGGCGGUUUGUUAAGUUUGGAGUGACAGUUGGUGGCUUAACUGCCAAAGUGCUUCGAAAACUGACAGACUUGAGGGCUUCAGAGGGACACGGAAUUCCGGGUGGAGUGGUGAAAUGCGUAGAGAUCCGGAGGAACACCAAAGGCGAAGGCAGUGUCCUGGGGAGUACCUGACGCUCAGGUGCGAAAGCCAGGGGAGCGAACGGG
rnacentral:rRNA from 1 species